rnacentral:rRNA from 1 species
CCCCGGCUAACUACGUGCCAGCAGCCGCGGUAAUACGUAGGGGGCAAGCGUUAUCCGGAUUUACUGGGUGUAAAGGGGGCGCAGACGGCCAUGGCAAGCCCGGUGUGAAAGGCAGGGGCAUAACCCCUGGACUGCACUGGGAACUGUCAGGCUGGAGUGCCGGAGGGGUACGCGGAAUUCCUGGUGUAGCGGUGGGGGGGGGGGUUCUCUGGGGGAACCCCGGGGGGGAAGGCGGGUUACGGGACGGCAAUUGACGUUGAGGCCCGAAAGCGUGGGGAGCGAACAGGAUUUAGAUACCCUGUUAGUCCACGCCUUAAACGAUGUAUACCAGGUGUCGGAUAUCAAGGAUAUCCGGUGCCGAAGCAAACGCAUUAAGUAUACCACCUGGGGAGUACGUUCGCAAGAAUGAAACUCAAAGGAAUUGACGGGGACCCGCACAAGCGGUGGAGCAUGUGGUAUAAUUAGAAGCAACGCGAAGAACCUUACCAGGCCUUGACAUCCUGAUGGCGCGGGCGUAACGGUCCGUUCCCUCCGGGGCAUCAGAGACAGGUGGUGCAUGGUUGUCGUCAGCUCGUGUCGUGAGAUGUUGGGUUAAGUCCCGCAACGAGCGCAACCCUUAUUCCCAGUAGCCAGCAUUUCGGAUGGGCACUCUGGGGAGACUGCCGGGGAAGACCCGGAGGAAGGCGGGGAUGACGUCAAAUCAUCAUGCCCCUUAUGGCCUGGGCUACACACGUGCUACAAUGGCGCAUACAAAGGGAGGCAAAGGAGCGAUCUGAAGCAAAUCCCAGAAAAGGCGCCCCAGUUCGGAUUGCAGCCUGCAACUCGGCUGCAUGAAGCUGGAAUCGCUAGUAA